UACUAGCCAUCUAAAACCAAAAAUCAGGACAUAUUUAUAUCUUAUUGCUAUGUCCAAAGGUUGAUUUUUCUUCACUUCCUCUCUUGAAGGUAGUUGUGGCAAUAAAGUGUAGUCUCCAUGAAAGGGAUGUGAGCAGAAGUCAUGUGUGCCACUUCUGGUUCAUCAACUCAAAGGCAAAGGUACUUUUCGAGGACUUCCAGCACCCUCUUCCAACAGACUGGAAGAUGGAUGUGGCCAUGAAACCACUUCAACCACACAGACCAGGACAUCAGUCCAGGGACUGGCAGAGGUGAGCAUCCUCUGUUUGGCAUUUCCACAUGUAAUAAGUUAAGAACUGAUUUGAGACGAUAGCCCAAAAAUGCAAUUGUAUAAAUCCAAAUAAAAAAUUUAAAGAAUCAUCCCAA
rnacentral:antisense_RNA from 1 species